CUGUGUUUUAAUUGGGAUUUGAAGGGAAGGGGAGCAGAAUUGAGCCCUGUCAGAUAAUCAGAGCAGAUUCUAGUGCUGCCCUCUGCCUGAGGUACUCUUUCCCCGACCUCUUUCCUCUCUCCUCACCUGGGUCCUACCUUUCAGCUCAUAGCUCACAUGCUACUUGUUGGUGUUUGAGUCCAGCAUAGACAUUGCACAGAGCAGACACUCAAAUAUCCAAGUGCCUCACCCAGAGCAGAACAUGGGAAUGAUUAUUUCCCAGUGAGCACCUCCUCAUGCCCAGAACCAGGACAGAUGUGAGGGGUCCAGUGAUGAUUCAACCAGACACAGCUCCAGUCCCCUGGGGUCAUGACUUUGUUUCUUCUGGAUGCUAUACUUGCAUACAGCAUGUUAGAUGUUCUAAGAAGCUACAUUGCACUAUGUGGCCCAUUAUAAAUUUUUAGGCAACUAAACCCCAAAGUCAUCUUUUCUCUUUUUUGAACUGAAUAAAGUUUGUUUUCACCUAAGUCAGUAGACAUUUUACAUGAAACUUCUUCUCUUUCCAAGUAUGUACUUGUUCCAUUUCACUUUCUAAAGCUUAGUGGAGAACUUGGCUUUUAUUCGAUUUAAACUUUUCCAUUCUAUGUCAGCACCUGGUUUUCCUUUCAGCGUCUUGUGUUUAAAACCCCCUUGGCAACAGAACAAACCUGUCUCGGGAGUUGGCUACCUCUGGCCCACAGGCCAAAUGUGGCCCAUCACCUGUUUUUGAAAAUAUGAGUCACUGGAAUACAGCCAUUCCCGUUUGCCUGCAUAUUACCUCUGGCUGCUGUCAUAAUAAAACAGCAGAGGCAAGUGGUUGCCAUGGAGACUGUAUGCCUGGAAUAUUUACUAUCUGGCCCUUUACAGAAAAAGUUUUCCAACCCUGCUCUGUUUCAGUGGCUAAUGUUCUAUUUGUCUUAGCCAUGCACUGUGUUCCUGGGAAACUUGAUUUGACCUAUUAUAUCUGUAUCUGUUAUAUACCUGAUUAACUGAAGAAUAAUCUUAGGUCCUCCAGAUUGGUGUCUAGCCCAAGCAACUGUGAAGUGCAAAUCCUCUGCCACACUCCUACUAAAGAUGGAAAAGUCAUCACUCCAGAGGUGCUGGUGCUGUAGGUGUAUACCUAUGCAAAUAUCGACGAAGCUGUUUUCUUAAGAUUGAGCAAUUUCUAUAGAUAACAUAUAACUUAAUAAAUGUACAACACAAAUAUAAUAAUAUAUAACUUAAAUAACGUAUUGUGUAUGAAUAACCUAAACCUGAGUUUUGAAAAACAGCAUCUCUUUUUCAAACCGUGUUUGAGAACCAACUAGAUGACCAACGCAGAGUGAGGGAUUUUAAUGUAGAGGGAUAUAAGAUUUAUUUAUUUGAUAAACAUUUUCUGAUAUUCUGCAUGUGCCAAGACGAAUGCUAGGAGCUAGGAAUGCAGAAAUAUAAUGGACAUCAUCCAUCCCCUCUAAAAGGAAAGGAGAAAUGAGUUAAUGUUCACUAUGUUGAACAGCCAUCAUGAGUUAGGAGGACUGGAUCUUUAUGACAAACUUCUGAAGCUGAAAUUAAACCAUAAACCAGGAAAAAGCAGGUAAGUAUCAUGUCUUAAGUAUCGUGAUCAGUAAGUGUCAGAGCUAGUAUCUAACCCCAAGUGCAUUAACUCCAAAAGCAAGGGUCUUUCUAUUGUAUUGUUCCUCUAGUUAUAAAGACUCUACCAUUUCAUUUUGAGCAGAGAUCUGUUCACACAAGGUGGAACGGGAGGGCCAUGGAGAAAAAAUAAUCAUAGGUGCUUGUUUUGUCACAAGCUAAGUGCCAGUUUGCUCUAAAAAGGGGAGAUGAAUUUGGAGUGGACAACAGGGGACCCCUUUGCACUCUGUGUCCUGAUUCCCACCCAUUCAACCCAAUGCAUGUUGAUUGCCUGGCCGCUCUGUGCUACCUUAUGAGGCCAUUCAAAUAAGCACAUGAGAGCAUGUUUGUCAUGGGCUCUCAUAAGUGAAGGCGAUUGCUACAAGUUCUUGACUCUGUCUUUAGGAAAUCUCUGUAUUGUUUAAUGGUCUGGUGGCAGCUAUUUGUACCACCCUGCUGGUGGCAGAAAAUUGAGGAUCUUCUGUUCUUAAUAACCCAAGGUGUGACCAGCCCCAUUAAGAUGGCGCUGAUGUCAGAAAGGCCUUUAUUACUCUAUAUGGGCCAAAUCCCUUGUAGUCCUAGACCUGACAAAUUGGGAUGCUGUGCAAAAAAACACCACUAUUAAAGCAAAACUGAGGCAGUGUUACAGGAGUCUGAAGUAGCUGGACUUAGCCUUGAUACUGAAGAAGGGCUACUGGCUCUGUCCAACGGCAGGUCCUAACACACACACAUGCUUUUUUUUUUUUUUAAAUCCAAGUCUCGGGUUCAAAUUCCUCGCUUGAAACUUUUCUUGACCUAGGGAAGGCAUCCAUGUAGUCUUAAGUAGAGGGCAUUCAAACACAGUAAACCAAGAGACUUCCCAACUGGCAAUAGCAGGCUAAAUGGGGACUGUGAUAUUUAGUAAUCCUUUCAUACAAAAGAAAUCGUCAGCACAUGAGCCCUUGUGGAAAGUAAGAGGCAGCAAAAUAAAAUCAAGACCAUUAAACUAUCUCCUCUUAGGUUUCUCCACUUCAACUUUUUGCUCCUUUUAGGUGGCAUGCCCAACAAAUACAUCUGGUUUCUUAAUAGUCAGGAAGGUGAGCUUCAGAUUUAGACUUGCCUGCAUGCAAAUCCUGACAUCCAUCACUGGCUGUGUCAUCUUUGCCAGUUAAUCUCCUUUUGCCCCAUCUCCCUCGUCCCUAAAAAGGAAGCGAUGUCCAUUACUUCCUGGAGUCUGUUGGAAGGGUUAAAUGAGAUAUGCACGUACAGGAGUUAGAAUUCAUGAAUGUUAGGUUGUGGUCAUUAUCAUCCUUGAUAAGCUGGACAUUUUAAUCCUUUUUACUUCUGGAAAGAAAACCAGACACCUGCAUUUUGUGUUCUAGUUCUUAACAUUAAUAGUGGACAGAACAGAGUAUGGACAUGAAAUACCAGCAAUGGCUUUGCUACAAAACGGGAUCAUUGUUUGGGUCCACAGACCAAAAGCCUAAUUUACAGAAGGGUAAGUAUGAAGUUGCAGGGAAGAGUCCUCAUCCAAGGCAACGUGGACAGAGGAACAUUUGGACAAAAUUGUCUAAGUGCUUUAUAGUUAAAUGAAGAGCCAUGGUACUUUAAUUCAGGAGUUCCAAGUGAAGAUAUAUAAAUAUAUGAGAAUUAGUGGGGAAUGAAGUCACCAGAGACUCCUAUCCUGAGGUACUUUAUACCUGUAUUAAUUAGCUAAUUCAAUUUGCAUGUAGAUUCGAGUGCAAAUGGCACAUUUGGAAAACAAAUGUUAUGGUAGAUAGCAAAUAAUUAGCUUCGGAAUUUGUUUUAGUCAGCACAGGCUGCCAUAACAAAAUACAUCAACUGGGUGGUUCAAACAACAGAACUUUAGUUUCUCACGGUUCUGGAGACUGAAAGUCCCAAAUCAGAUGCCAGGCAACUGGCAAGGGCCCUCUUCCCAGCUUGUAGACUGACAACUUCUCGCUACGUCCUCAUAUGACACACACACAGAGAAACACACUCAUACAGAGGAAGAGUCUCUCUGCUAUCAUAAGGGCACUAAUCCUGUCAUGAGGGCUUCAUCCUCAGGACAUUAUUUAACCUAAUUAUCUCCAGAUAAUGGCCCCCACCUCCAGAUACCAUCACAUUGGGAAGUAGAGCUUCAUCACAUGAAUUUGGGGAGACGCAAUUCAGUCCAUAGAAGAAUUCAUAGCAUAAUUCAUGACUUGAACUGUGGUUUGCUCCCUACCUGUGUUCUUCAUGCCUGUUAGCAUGGUUCAGAUGGAGUAAGUUAUUUGAUAUUUCUUAUUGUGCAUGCACACACCCGGGCAGGGCAUACAGCUUAACAGCAAAGCCACUCAAGUGGGCAGAAUUUCUUUACCUACCACUUAGCCACGCUCCAGCUCUUCUUCUAUCAGACAGAGGAAAUUAGGAAAGUGGCAGGAAUUGUAUCACCCUGAAAAAAAGUGUGAGACUGGAAAGGGCAUAAAAGAACCUGGGUGAGUCCUCUUCCACAGCCCUCCUUAACACUGUUUUGGUCUCCCUUGGACUGACAGAGAUAUGUUGAGGGUUGGCGAGAGGGGUAGUGGGGAAAGUGGGAGAAAAAGAGGAACUGGGAGGGAAGAAUCAGGCAAUUAGCAUAUGAGUGAGAAAGCAGAAAUAAAAGUCAACAAACCACAGAAAGAAGACCCUCACAGCCCAGGCUCCACCCAAGCUUUUCUCAUGGGCCCAGGUGCGGAAGUCCUAUCCCCAGCACCAGGCACCAGCAGUGUCUGAAGGAACCUGCUGACCCGGAGAAGGAAGAGGCUGCCUGCUUAGAGGAAAGGAACUUCCAGAUGCCGGGAGAGGCAGCCGGGCCCUGAGCCCUGAGGCCAGGCCUCUCUGUCUCCCGGCUACCAUGGAGGACGGUAAGCUCUGUCUGCUGUGUGGAGGACUUCUGCUGAGUGAGGUGAAAGUGGUCCAGGAAACAGAGGGUGGGGAAGCUCUAAAGGAGAAGUAAAGAGCUGGGAAGAGCUCCAUCUUUUGAAGGGGAUGCCCUGGGCUACCCAGGAAGGCUGCCUCAGAUCUUCAUCAAAAGAGUUAUUAACUCUGCUUCUUCUCAUUGUCCGACCCUGGCAAAUCCCUCACCCAGAAUCCGCCAGCCUUCAUCCAAAUGCACGCAAAGCUGGAGAGAGAAGUGGGCAGGAGGUGGCCGAUUAGAUAAAAAGUGAGAGGUGACAGGCAUUGCCAGGCAAGUGGACAAGACAGGAGAUGGUGUGACUGAAUGAAUCACUAGCCUGGCGCCAGGCGAGGGCCUUUGCCCUGAGGAACCACAUCCCCCUGCAGCGUCCAGGCCACUUCCUGUGCUGCUCACCAAGAACAAAUCGCCCAGGUUAACCUCACUUCCUCUUCCGCUCAGCUUUGCAGGCUGGUAAACCAAGGGACACGUACAGAGCACACGUGAGCCGUAGCAAGGCUCUGGAACCAGGAGUGACGUGGCCCUCGGGGCUGACCCGGAGGGCCGUCCCUGAAUCAUGACACCUUGGGCACCACGUUUACCCACAGGAGGCCUCUCCAGGAUUCUUCAUAUUGAGUUCCAGUUGAGAUGCCUCAAAUUAAGCAAACAUUCACUGGAAAGUGCUGGUGAGGGGGUCCAGAGGGGACAGAAAUGAUUGCAGCAGCUGGAGCAGACUCCCCGAGGACUGGGAAUUCGAGCAGGUGUGGGGAGGAUGAGAGAGCCGUAUUCAAAAAUGUGAAAGUGACAUUGAAGAGAAAAUUCAAUGGAUGAUGCGGAACUCCAGAUUACGAGGAAGUGGAAAUUUCAGACAGAAAAGCAUAUUCCUCCUCAA